GCCUUCGUGGUGUAGUGGUCAGCACGCUCGGCGCGUAUUCGAUAGGGCUGUGGUUCGAGUCCCGGCGAGGGCA
rfam:Stegodyphus mimosarum contig83564, whole genome shotgun sequence.